GGGAUUGCCUCAGUAACUGCGAGUGAAGUGGCAAAAGCUCAAAUUUGAAAUCCGGUACCUCUGGUGCCUGAGUUGUAAUUUGGAGAGACAAAUCUUGCGGAUGGUGCCGGCCUAGGUUCCUUGGAACAGGACAACACAGAGGGUGAGAAUCCCGUGCAUGGCUGGAUUGCUGUCGCGUAAUAGACUGUCUUCGACGAGUCGAGUUGUUUGGGAAUGCAGCUCAAAAUGGGUGGUAAAUGUCAUCUAAAGCUAAAUAUUGGCGAGAGACCGAUAGCGCACAAGUAGAGUGAUCGAAAGAUGAAAAGCACUUUGAAAAGAGAGUCAAAAAGUAUGUGAAAUUGCUGAAAGGGAAGCGCUUGAGACCAGACUCGAGUCGUGGUGAUCAGUCGUGCUUCUGUACGGUGCCACUUGCCACGGUUUGGGCCAGCAUCGGUUCCGGCGGUCGGAUAAAAGGUUUGGGAAUGUAGCUUCCUUCGGGGAGUGUUAUAGCCCUCAUCACAAUGCGGCCAGCUGGGAUCGAGGACCGCGCUUUAGGGCUAGGAUGCUGGCGUAAUGGUCUUAAGCGACCCGUCUUGAAACACGGA
rnacentral:rRNA from 1 species